AUUUUCUUGUUCAAGAUAUUACACCCAUCUGUUUUUAAUGACUAUUUCACAGAGUUUACUUACAAUACUCGUGAGUGAGACUGGUCUGUAAUUCAGUGGUUCCAUUUUAUUACCUCCUUUGUAUAACGGUACUAUAUUUGCUCUCUUCCAUUCCUUUGGUACUUUUCCCUCCUUCAAAGAACUGUUAAUUAUCUCCUAUAUUGGUUCUUCCAAUUCCUCUCUACAUUCUUUCAAUAUCCAUCCAUUUACUUCGUCUGGUCCCAUCGCCUUCCUAGUAUCUAGCUCUUCCAGUAGUCUUUUAAUUUCUUUUCUUUCCACUUGUAUGUUUUCUAUUCCUUUCUGUUGUUCCUCAUCUCCCAGUGAUGCAAAGACAGUUUCUCUUGUAAAUACAGACUUGAAGCUUUUAUUCAGUAUCUCGGCCAUCUCUUGUGUGGUUUCAUAAAUUUCUCCAUUUUUCUUCAGCUUUGUAAUGGUAUCUCCAUGCUUUAUUUUUCCAUUUACAUAUCUAUAGAAAAGUUUGGGUUCUUCUUUACACUUUCCAACUACAUCUCUUUCAAAAUUUCUUUCUUCUUCUCUUCUUAUUUUAACAUAAUCAUUUCUAGCUGUCCUGUAUUCUUCUCUAUUUAUCUCAUUCCAUUGUUUCCUAAUUUUUUUCCAUGCCCUCUCCUUCUUUUUUGCCUCUGGACACUUUGCAUUAAACCACACUUUCUUAUUUUCUUUUACCUUAUAUCUUGGCACAUAUCUUUCAACACCUUCUCUAAACUUGCUUAAAAACACUUCAUAUUUCUUCUGCACCUCCAUACCUCUUAAUAAAUUACUCCAAUCAAGCUCUCCGUAGAAUUUCUUUAACCCUGCAAAGUCUGCCUUAGCAUAAUUUUUUCUCUCAUUUUUAUAUUCCUCAUUGAAUUUUGGCACUUCUUUGAUCUCUAUCUCCAUCUUCACAUGAUCACUUUUUCCCACUGGACACAAAUAUUCUAUACUUGGUUCAUUUUCUGGCUUUUUUGUAAAAACCAAGUCUAGUAGCGAUGGUUCAUCUUCCCUUCUGUACCUAGUAUUUUCUUUCACCCAUUGAUCCAUCAUGUUUACCAUCAUAGUCUGUAAAAAUUCUUCACUCCAUGUAUUGGCAAUCCCUGUCACCUCCAUCUCCCCCCAGUUUAUCUCCUUGCUGUUAAAAUCUCCUACUAGUAACACCUUGUUUCUUAUCUUUAGCAUGUCAUCUAUACUUUUUAUGAACUCGCUUUGCAUGUGCUUAUAAUCAUCAGUCCACCAAGUGUUGGUCUUUGGAGGCAUGUAUGCAACAAUAAUUUUUCUGCUUUCUUGUCCUUGGAUCUUGAUCUCCACACUCAAUGUUUCUGACCUCCCUUCACCAUAUUCCACUGUUUCUAUCAAGAUGUUUUUUCUUACUAGAAUCAUCACUCCUCCUCCCUUAUUCUUUCUAUCUCUUCUCCAUAUGUUAUAUCCUUCUUCUUCAAAUUCAACAUUAAUCUCCCUUGUUAGUGUUGUUUCCGUAAUGCAUGCCACUUCUGGUUGAUUUUCAUGUAAAUAAUCUCUUAGUUCCCUUAGGCUGGACACUGAUCCAUCUAUGUUUGUAUACAUAACUUUAAUUUUAUUUAUUGUGGACCCAUUUCUUUUGUGUUCUCUCUUUGUUGUCUUACUUCUUGCCCCACAUUCUUUAGCCACCAUUUUCUCAUUUUCAUGUCUAUCAUUCUCCAUAUAUACCUUUCUGCCUGUACCUGUGUUCUCUCUUUGUUUUUUGUCUUGGCCUCCUCUUUUAACUCUUUCACCUUGUUUCUUUCCUCCUCAUUCAUUUCUCUUCUUAUACAUAUAUCCUUCAUACCCUCUAUCUUUCUUAACAAACUCCUUCUUCUCAAGAUGUGUUCGGCUGCCGCUUGGGUAUUAAGUCUUAUUUUCAUGGGACGUUUCCCCCCUUCUGAAUAUUUCCCAAUCCUGUACACUUCUUCUAUUUGUAUAUCCGUUUCAUCUCCUUCUUCUACAAUUUUCCCAAUGAUUUCUUUUGCUCUUUGUAAUUCUUCUCUUUCUCUUAGAACUUUAUUUGAUAUGGUCUUCUCUUUAUCCCCAAACACCAUCAGGCACAUCUUUUUUUGUACCGCAUCCCUUACUAUGUUAUCUUUUUCCUUAAUGGUUUUCACUACUUUUUUCACCAUCUCUUUAUCAUGUUGUUCUUGCUGUUUUCUUAUUAUUUCUGUCAUAUCUAUCUUCUCUUGUUCUCUCUCUUCUUUCCAACUUUUCACUUCCUUUUCAACUAAGCCUUUUACUUCACUCUGGAUUUUGCCUUCAUCUAUCCUAACUUCUUUCUUCUCCACCAUGCUCCUUAGCUUUCCAUUUUCUUUUUUGAGUUCUUGUAUUUCUUCACUGUACUUUACAUUUAAAUCCACUAUCUUUUCCACUUCCUCUCUCAGUUUCUUGUUUUCCCUUUCUCUUUUUAAGUCCCUUCCUUUCAACUCUUCCAGCUCUUCAACAAUGUCUUUAAGUCCCCUCUCCUUAUCUCCUUCCCAUCCUCUGACUAAUGUCACCAAUCCUCUUAUUUCCUCUCAUAUCUUUUCAUUCUCUUCUUCUAAUUUCCAUACUCUUGCAUUUAACCUGCCUACUUGUAUAUCUUUUUCACCAAAUCCUUCAAAUUUUGGUGUGCCUCUGGGCGACGGCAACGUGGCGGUGGCCGCCAUCACGCUUUGUUUACAACCGAUUCGGAUUCGGUGUUUUCACCCACAAUUUUCACUUCAUCUAUUCCAUCUCCGAUUUUUUUUCUACUUCUUCCAUAAAAACUCCACCCCACACUGUGCACUUUCUUAUACUUUUGUAUGGAGACAGGCUAAGAAAAUAACUCUGACCCUGUACCCACAAAUAGGCAAGUUCGGCGCAGCUGCUCCUGACACGUCUGCUCUCAACGAAGUCGGAAGUGUGUGUGUGUAUGUGUGUUGCCCUGUCUUUCAUUGUUGAGAUUGGUAGAAGGCCGACCAUUGGAGAGCCUGCGCACCAAGACAGCCGGCUCCCCCCCCCACUGGCAGGCCGGUGGGAGGGGGCAGUUUGGGUCAACACCACCUGGGCUGCAGUGUCCCUGGCCCAGUGGAGCGAAGGGGGGUGUCCCAUCAACCGGUACAGUGUUGUCUACAGACAAACCAGUGCUGUUACCUGGAUUGUGGUAUCCAAGAGGGUGGAGGGGGGCCGGCCAGUGUGAUAGGGGGCCUCACACCCUCCACCCAUUACCUGGUGCAGGUGACUGCUUACAACUCUGCUAGGAGCUACUCCAGGGCUACUCCACCACCAUGCCCUUCCUGGAGGCCCCUCCUCCCCUGGGUUAGUGAUGCCUGGGGUGGCCAUGACAGAUGUGAGGGUUCUGCUGCCCGUGGUUGCCUCCUCCCUGUCUGCUGGCCACUCUUGUCACCCGUUUGUGUUUGUGUCAGGAGGAAGUACGCAGACAACAUCUAUACAGCCUUCCAAAUGAACAACACACACCAACAACAUCAUCAACAACCAAAACAACAACAACCAUCACAGCAACAACCAGUCACAGCCACCACAACCACCACCAUCACCACCACCACCCACACCACCAACAGCAGCAAUAACCACAGCAGCAACCACAGCCAAAAACAGCAACAACAACAACAACAAAAAUUAGGCCAGACACAGUGACCUUGCUUACAACAACAACUACAAUAACAAUAACAACAACAACAACCCCACCACAAUGCUUCCCACAGCCACUACCAGCCAUGUGCUUAUUAUUAUAGCAAAGUAUUAAUAUCACUUGCAAAUAU